AUGGCUUUGUCCCCCGCGAGCGUCGGGCCGGUGAUUCCGGAGGUGGAGAUGAACGCCGGCGCCGAUCAGGGCUCCACCACCGUGCGGGCCACUGUCGUGCAGGCCUGCAGCGUUUUCUACGACACUCCUGCAACGCUCGAUAAAGCAGAGAAAUUGAUAGCGGAGGCUGCUGGAUAUGGUUCACAGUUGGUUCUUUUUCCAGAAGUCUUUGUUGGUGGCUACCCUCAUGGGUCUACCUUUGGACUGACUAUUGGCAGUCGAUCUGCCAAGGGAAAAGAAGACUUCCGGAAGUAUCACGCGGCUGCCAUAGAUGUGCCUGGCCCAGAGGUUAGCCGCUUAGCUGCAUUGGCCGGAAAAUACAAGGUCUUUUUGGUGAUUGGGGUUGUUGAAAGGGCAGGCUACACACUGUACAAUACAGUGCUCUCCUUUGAUUCUCUGGGAAAGUACCUAGGAAAACACCGCAAGCUCAUGCCUACCUCACUGGAACGAGUAUUCUGGGGGUUUGGAGAUGGAUCUACGAUACCUGUUUAUGAUACUCCACUUGGAAAGAUAGGUGCCGUCAUCUGCUGGGAGAACAGAAUGCCACUUAUCAGGACAGCGAUGUAUGCCAAAGGUGUUCAAAUAUACUGUGCUCCCACUGCGGAUGCGCUGCCAAGUUGGCAGGCUUCCAUGACACACAUUGCGCUUGAAGGGGGAUGCUUUGUUCUGACAGCAAACCAGUUCUGCCGCAGAAAAGACUUUCCUCCCUCGCCUGAGUAUACCUUUGGUGGCCAUGAGGAGGAGCCAUCCCCAGAAACCGCUGUUUGUCCUGGAGGGAGCGCCAUCAUCUCGCCAUCUGGGACAGUGUUGGCAGGUCCCAACUAUGAAGGCGAGGCCCUCCUCACAGCUGACCUGGGUAAGAAGAAACCGAUGACUCCCAAGUCUAUGCUAAACACAUACUAUCAUUUUGGGUACUUAUACGCAACCUUGGAGAAAUUGUUCGAGCCAAGUUUGAUUUCGACGUCGUGGGACACUACGCGCGCCCUGAGGUGCUGA
rnacentral:rRNA from 1 species